rnacentral:lncRNA from 1 species
UUUCGUUCUCUUUCCUUCGCCACUUUCAACAGAGCAACACGGAGGGCUAAAGCCUCCGCUUUCAUGGCUGAAUCGACGUCUAUUUUUUCGGCAAAGCCAUCUCUGAGGACCCCGUUUUCAUCUCUGCAGAUCCCGGCGACUAAUCCCGUCCUCUGGCCUUUAGUCCACGAUGCAUCCACGUUGAGUUUCAGGUAGUUCUUGGCCGGCGCUACCCAUUUUGCGAGUGCGUCUAUGCUUUUGUUUCUGCAGUUUUGCUUUUUAGGGUUCCACCGAUUGUAAAGCUCCAGGUCUGCGUUUGCUUCGUGACAGCUUCGCGUGGUCGCGGUGAUUCGCCCUUUGAAGACCGCAGCUUCCAAAUCUGCCACAAGACUCCGGCUACGAGCUCCUUCAGCCGAGGGUUGCCGCAUGAGGUAAGGAUUUCAAACAGCCAUUUGUCUAUUCUGAUAAUGUUGUUGGGGGAAGGGUUCAGCUCUAGUUUCUAAUUUGCCCAGAUCUCUUGUGUCCAUUGGCAAAGGAGGAAGAGGUGUUCUGGCGUUUUUGGCAUUUGGCGACACAUUGGGCAGCUCUGGUUAGGUAACAUCUUCCUUUUAUAGAGGUUUUCCUUCAUUGGUAGCUCAUUAGUACACAGGCUCCAUAUAAAAACAUGAUCUUUGGAUGGGUGUGAAGGUCCCAGAUCAGGUUCCACUGCUUUUUGCGGGUCUGAUAUGACGCGGACGCAUGGGAUGUGGCUUGGUCGUCUGUUGUUUGCAUGCUGUCGUAUCCACUUUUGACUUUUGGAUCUAUUGUUGGUCCAUGUGAUUUUGUCUCCGUUCAUUGAUUGGCUAAGCAACGUCGCAAGGAUUUCUCUGGAUAAGUCAUCGUCGAUUGUGAAGCACCGACAGUGUUCAAGAGCCUUUGUAUUAUGUUGUUUGACACUACUACACUCAGUCAACGCAUGUCGAAAAAUUCAACACUUGGUUAACUUUUUUCGAUAUUCUCUUACAUUUAAGUCGGAAUUCCAAUAUAUGAGUUUCUAACAUGUGAUUCCACUAUCGAUGUCAAUUUUAAAAUUUUUUUAAAUGUCAAAAUGUAUAUAUGUAAAAAAAUAAAACACAAUAAUUAAAAUAAUAAAUGGAGAAAGAAGAAAAACUUUAUCUUCUACUCUUUUGACUCUACUUUCCUGAUAUAUACUUCACUUCUAAAGUUUUUUUUUUCCUACUCCGACAUAUGUAACAUGAGAGUCCAAAACGUGGAUUGCUUAAUUUUUUCUUCAAAUUUUAUGAAUUAUUGGAAUAGAGUUGAAUUUGUUAAAUUAAAAAUAUGAAAGAUGUUAAUAAAUGGUGGAUUAAUGUUUUUAAUAUAAGUUCAUUUUAGGAUCUUAAAACUAUUUAUUUAUUGGUGAAUUUGAUCGAAAUAAUCAUAAAAAAGAUCAUUUAUUAUGUACAUAUAAAAAUAUAUAUUUAAUAUAUAACGUGUUCCAAUAUGUCGGAAUUCUCUAUUUUUUGAGAAACGACAUGCCGUGUUGUGUCGCGUCGCAUCAGUGUCGAUACUACUUAGGUCAUCGAACUAGGCUGCAAUCUUAUGCUCAUCCCACUAUUUGGAUUCUUGGUCAAUUAGCUCAGCCACAUGUUGGGGUUCUCCUUAGUUUUUUGGUCCUCCUAUGCAUCCUUGUGCUAAAGACUUGUCUUCUCUCACUCUAAUAUGCAAUCCAUCACCCACUACCCAUCUCACUCUAAUCUGCAAUCCAUCACCCACUACCCAUCUUGUUUGUUGCUCUUAUCACCUCUCUUCCUUGUAGCAAACUUUGCCAUCCCCAGGACGGUCUAGAUCCCCUGUUCGCCCUCAUGAAAUCCCCUAAAGGGAAGUAUAGUCCUUUUAGCAAUUACUCCAUAAGGCUAAAGGGGCUUGUAUGAGUCUCUAGGCCUGUUUUUCGAGCAUGGCCUUGUUAAAAGCAACAAGGUCCUUAAAUUCCAAAUCUCCACAAUCUUUUCUUCUUUUUUUCAGCACCUCCCACUUCUUCCAAUGGAUGUCUGCCUUUGCCCUGCUUUUUUUCUAUCACAAUGUGGCAAUCUUUUGUUCAAUUGAUCUACAAAUCGAUAACAAGAUCUUAUAAAUAGUCAAUAGUAUAUUGCGGCAAUGCUUGUACAACUAUUUUGAUAAGGAUCUCCUUUCCCGCUAUUGACAUUAUGUUCUCUUUCCACCCCUCAAGUUUCAUAUUCACCCUCGUUAGAAUCCACACGAACAUCCCUUUCUUCGAUUGCCCCCAAUCUAAUGGAAUGCCGAGAUAUUUUCCUAUUUUUUCGAUGAUAGGGACUCUUAGUUCUUUUGCUAUGUUCCUUCUUAAUUGCUAUGGGCAGUAGUUAAAGUAAAUACCCGACUUGUUUAGGUUAAUUGCUUGACUGGAUGCAUAACAAUAUUGGUUUAAAAGAUUUGCAAUAUUCUAACAUUCCUUAAUUGUAUAGUUGAGGAAGAAUAUUGCAUUGUCUGCAAAUGGUAAGUGCGUAAGUAUUGGACAACUUCUAUUUAGUUUAAUCCCUUUCACCCUUUCAUCCCUAAAUGCUUUUUGUAUAAGUAAAGACAUCAGAUUAGUCAUAACAAUGAAUAAGUAGGGUGAGAGAGGGUCCCAUUGCCUUAAUCCUCUAGUCGGCUUGAAAGCCUAAAGAGGUUCCCCAUUCACUUUGAUGCUGAAGUUGACAGUUGAUAUGCAUGUUUUUCAUUAAGGAAACCUAGCAAUCACUAAAGCCCAUUUUGAUCCAAGAAAUCCCAUUCGACUCAGUCAUAUGCUUUUUGCAUAUCAAGUUUAAGUACCGCCUGAAACUUUCUUUUCCUUUUCCUGAUUCUUAGUUGGUGCAACACUUCUUGGACUAGUAAUAUAUUGUCUAGUAUUUGUCAUCUGCCUAUGAAAGUGCUUUGCUCCAUUUCUAUCAGUUCGGCAAGCUAGUGUUGGAUGCAAAUUGUGUAAUCACAAUAUCUCCAUAACUAGAACAGGAACAUGCAUAAUUGAGUAGAAAGAUUAACGCACCUGUUUUGGGAUCCAUUGUUCUUAAAGCGGAAGCGGAAAUACAAUGUUCCAUGCGUAAGUUCUUCUCCUCUAUUGCCCUCCGUAUCAUUGGCUCAAUGAGGCGGCCCCCUCACGUGUAGCGUUAGAUAAACGUUCCUCAUGUGAGGAUGCAGGUGAGAAUUAGGGUUAGAGGGGAGACUUGAGCACUAUUUAUAGAGUUUCCAGCCAGUCCCCCUCAUUACGGGCCAAGCUCAACUCGACCCACACUAGCCAGCCCAUAUUAGACUAAUUAAGAAACAUUCUAUCUCACCUUAGACUAAUCUUGUUUUACGGUAACCGUAAUAAUAAUAAAUUACAAUAUCAAUUAAUUUAGUCCACAUUAGGAAAACUCUUACAUUUUCCCACUUGGACUAUAUUAAUUGAAAUCAUACUGUAUGUGCGCACAUUUGGUCCAUAGAUAAUUCUUAAUAAUCAAUCCUAUCUUAUAAAGUCUUAAACACCGAAUCAUGGCGGUAACUGCAUGUAUACACACAGAGCCUUCCAUGGUCACGAAUGCUCUUAACUUUAUUGACAUGGAUUCAAUAUGGUAGCGUGUCAAAUGAAUAACAUCUCUUAUAGUGAGAUCCCAUUUGUCAGUGACCAUUCUCUUACCUUAGGUGUCACAAAAACUUGUGCCACUAGAGAAUGCUUUAUGGUUCCAAUGAACUCACAUAUGUCUUGUCCUUAUGGUUAACUUUUCUUUGUGUAUCACAAGACAUAUGUACAAGACUAAUAACCACAUGCCCGGAUGCCCCUAGCUUUCACUCAAGAUUUAUACAAUCCCUUGAGACUCUAUCAAUAUGUAUUCGACACAAUAACAAUACAUUCAAAAAUAUUUUAUUGAAUGCAAAAGUUGAUACAUAUCAAACCGUUACAAAGUGUAACGAACACAGAUGAAACCUUUAUUAGAGUAAAGCCAAAAUAGCUCCCACUAAACAACAUCUCAUGAUGUUCCUAGGCCCAUGCUAACAAUAUGUCACUCAAAUACACACAGGCGUAUGCCUUUAGUUAGUGGAUCUGCGAUCACAUUAUCUGUGAAAAUAUAUUAUAUUAAAACGUCACCUUUUUGUACCGUUUGUUUUUGGUCAAAAAUUGUGACCACCAUAUAUUUAGACCCAUUGAGACAUCUAUAGUAAAUAAAUAAUACUACAAAUUUAUUAUCUCAAUACAACCGUAUGGGUCUAUCCAUAAAGUUAAAACGAUUAACUUCUUCAUGAGAUUCUAGAGCCUAAAAGAAUGUUAUUAACAUUGCUUACAUAGUAGAAGAUGACAUAGAAUUUUAUUUACUGCUCUUACUGAUAACAUAAAUAUGUAUUCCGUUAUUGAUUGCAUGUCAUCAGAACAGCUAGCAAAGUUUACAUCUAAAUAGCCUACUAAUUGCAAGAAUUGAACAUGUCUGUAAAUUAACAUAUAAUCUCUUGUAUUCUUUAAGUACCUUAAAACCUUCUUGACAGCAACCCAGUGAUUGUGUCCUGGAUUUGACUGAUAUCUUCCCAGAAGUCCCGUCACAAAUACGAUAUUUAGUAUAGUGCAAAUUCAAGCAUAUAUUUUACUUUUAAGUGCACUGACACAAGGUACACCAUUUAAUUAGAUUUUCUCAAUAUCUAAAUAAGGACAAUGUGAUAGAUUCAGUCCAUCACCCUUAACAACAAGAGCAAUUCUUGGCUUGCAAUAAUGUAUAUUGAAUAUUUCCAAUAUACAAUCAACAAAUAUCCUCCGAUAAAAUCUAAUAUAAUAUGGCAAAAAUAAUCCUUACAGACCUUAGUACAAAUGAUAUAAGAUGUCUCAAGGUCACAAUUUGUAAGCAAAAUAUUAUGUACAUAGAGUAUGAGAAAAAAUAAAUUUCCUCCCACUAACCUUGCAGUAUAUUGAAUUACUUUGUUCCCAAUUGAACAAUAUAACAACACUAUGAAACUUUAAUAAUAUUGUCUGGAAAUUUGCUUAAGACCAUGAAUUAGAACUUUUUAGUCUACACACAAGUUUACUUGAAUCUGUUGCAAAAUCAUCCAGUUGCACUAUAUAGAUUUUGUAUUUAUUUGAUGUAACUCCAUAUCAAAAUAAAUUAUAAAUGACACGUUCACUCUGAAAGAAUCUUUAAAAAAUAGUAGAAAGAAAUAAUUAUUUUUGAAUGUAUUGUUGAUUACUAUAAACUAUCCACUCCUCUUUCAAAGUGAAAACAUUAUUAUCUUUUUUUUUAUGGCAUUUAAUCACAUACUUAAUUAAGAACAAGAAACGGCAUUUAUAUAAGUUGCUAAAACAACCAUGUAAUGGAUAUUGUAAUCAUGCUCUCACAAAUAGACUAUAUAGUCUGAUGGUAUAACUAAUCAUCUUUCCCUAAUAAAUCUCCUUAAUAAAGCUACAACCACUUCAUUCUGCACUUGAGAGGUUUAAGAAAUUUCAUUAUAAACUAUAUCAAGAAUAGUACCUUGAACCUCAACAAGUUUAGUCUAUGGUCCAGGAGAUUCCAUAAUUAUCUGUAUAGGUAAAGACAAAAACACAGUAACCUCCAUCAUACUAUCAUCUUUAAUAUUCUGAAAGUAGCUAUCCUCUACAAUUACAUCGAUUUUAAGAAACUUUAUAGUAUGUGAUUCCAUAAUUCUUGUACUUUCUUUAGGGUCAUAAAAUCAAUAUCCAUUUAACAAUCUAGAUAAGAUACAAAAUAAUUCCGAGUGGAUUCGAAUUCUAACACACUUAAUAUUGGAUUAGAUAAUCUCACUUUUGCAUGACACCUCUAAAUUUCAUAUGAUUAAAGUAAUUUAUGUCCAAUCUAUAACACAAAAGAAGUUUAUGAAACAACUUUAAUAAGAGACACAUUUUGUAUGUGAAAAAAAUUGCUUUCAUAAUAUCAGCUCACAAAAGACUAGAUAAAUUAGUCUUACUAAUCAUAUUCAUCAUCAUGUUCAAUAUGAUGCAUUUAUGCCUUUCGGCCAAAUCUUUUUGUCAUGAUUUUCAGGUAUAGUAAUUAAAUUACCAUCUUAGAAUCUACCAAGUAUUUGACAAAUGGCCCUUUAAGCUAUUUCGCAUUGUCAUAUUUGCCAAAAUACUCACGGUCACUGUUAAACUUGACAACCUUUUAAGAGUAAUUGUAAUUGUUUUAUUCUUUAUCUCGAUCAUUUUCCUUAAAUAGAAAACUUUCGAAAAAAAACCUUUUAAUCAUAUACGAGAUGUAUAUGUCAUUAGUACUUAAACACAAUCUUUGCAGAUGUAUCCUAAUUUCAAGCAACUAAGGCUUCCAUCAUCUUAUAGCAGUGCAGUCCGCAUGCAAACCUCUUUUCAAGUACACUUCAUGGACAGUAAGCAAAUUCAAUUGCUUUUUCUUUUAAGUAACAAAUUAUACGUCCACAACUUAAAAUUUUAAACAGUAAAAAUCUCAAUAAUAAUAAUAAAAUUAUUAAUUACAUAAAAUGUGACUGAAAACCAAGCAAUAUAUAUAUAUAUAUAUAUAUAUAUAUAUAUAAUUAGCAUCAUGUGAGUACUGUGUAACUUGACGUAUAAGUACACAUCCAGAAAGUUACAUGCAUAAUCAUAUAAUCACCUUUGGGCAGAAUACAUGACAUGUAUUUGUACACUCCCCACAUAAUAGCAGUUAUGAGAAUAUAUUCCAAUUCUUCGGGAAUUCAUCAUCUUCGGGCAUAUGAAUCACUAGAAUCAGUCACUCCUCCACCAUACUAUCAUGUAUCUCUCCAUGAAUUAAUACACAACCACCUCCUUUGGGAGUAUAACUACACAUUAGAUCAGGAGACAUCCCAAUUAGCAUACGAGAUUGAAAUUUCUCAAACCCAAUCAAGUGUGCCACUUUGGCGGUCACUACUCAAUUAAAUCAUUGAAACUCUCUCAUAUCAGGGAUAUAAACUUUACUACUCACAUACAUCAUAUACAUGUGAUUUUAACUUUAGUGAUAGGGGCAGAUUAUCACUAAAAUCACAUAUCAUGCUAAUUACAUUACUUUAUCCAUCCACACGCCGAACGGAGGCUCCACAUGCCCACACACACCGCCUGAGUGCGCGGCGUGUGGGGGCGCGUGCGGCCUCCUCUGGCGACGCGCCGCCGACCAUCUUGCUCGUCUCGUUGAGCCCAAUCCGAAUUUGUGAUUUAAUUUUAUUUUUAUUGAACAAAAAAUCUCGAAAAUCACAAAUUAUGGCAAAAACUUUAUGCGUUCAAGUUCUAAGGUUAUGGUCGCUUUGAUACCACAUGUUGGAUGCAAAUUGUGUAAUCCCAAGAUCUCUAUAACUAGAACAAGAACAUGCAUAAUUGAGUAGGAAGAUUAACGCACCUGUUUUGGGAUCCAUUAUUCUUGAAGCGGAAACGGAAACACAAUGUUCCAUGCUCAAGUCCUUCUCCUCUAUUGCCCUCCGUAUCACUAGCUCAAUGAGGUGGCCCCCUCACGGUAGCGUUAGAUAAACGCUCCUUAGGUGAGGAUACAUGUGAGAAUUAGGGUUAGAGGAGAGACUUGAACACUAUUUAUAGAGUUUCCAGCCAGUCCUCCUCAUUACGGGCCAGGCUCAACUCGGCCCAUACUAGCCAGCCCAUAUUAGACUAAUUAAGAAACCUUCUAUCUCACCUUAAACCAACCCUGUUUUACGGUAAUCGUAAAAACAGUAAAUUAUAAUAUCAAUUAAUUUAGUCCACGUUACGAAAACUUUUACAGCUAGGGCUUCAACCUACUUGCCAUUACUUCAGAGAUUAUCUUGUAACUGAAAUUACAAAGGCUGAUGGGCCGAUAUUGCACUAUGGAUUAUGGGUGAGCCACUUUUAGAGUGAGGGUAAUGUGAGUGUUAUUGAGGGAAGGGUAUGGAAUACCUGAAACGAAGAAGUCAUCAACCAUUUUACACACAUCUCUUUGAACUAGCUCCCAAUGAUGCUGGAAGAAAUGUCCGUUUAAGCCAUCUGGACCUAGGACCUUAGUAGCCCCCAGCUGAAACACCGCUACCUUCACUUCCCCCAUUGUAACUCUCCCUGUUAGGGCUUCAUUCCUGGCUUCUCUUACUAUGCAUGGGCAUUGGUCUAACAUCGGCUGAAAAUUUCUAGGGCCAACCGUGCCAUAAAGGCGUUAAUAGAAGGUUACAAAGUGUCCUUUAAUAGCUUCUGGAUCCCUGCACCACUUCUGGUCGUCUCAUUUCAGCAUAGUUAUUCUAAUUUGUUGCCUUCUUUGCACCGUUGUAGCAUGGAAGAACUUCGUGUUCUUAUCUCCCCAUCUUAGCCACUUUAUCCUUGAUCUCAUUCCCCUAAACAUCUUUUCCUAUCUCCAUAGUUGUUCGAUUUGCAACUUGAGGUGUUGUGCUUCCUCCUUUCUCAAACCCUUUUCCUUUGCAUUAGUUAUCUUUAUGAGCUCUUUUUUUAGUCCCUCAAUCCUUCUAUAGGCGUUUGAAUAUUUCUUCUUGCUCCAAAUUGCUAGAACAUCGGCAACCUCGUUCAGUUUUCUAGGCAAAUUCAGCUGAGAAUUUGGUUGAUCAUUCCAUAUGGACUGCACUAUUUCUUUGCAUUCAGCAUCCUCCAUCCAAUAUGCUUCAAAUCUGAACUUUUCUUCUUUUCGUCGAUGUGGGAAAUAAUGACAGCAAAAUAGGGCUAUGAUUCGAGCCAAUGGUGAUUCUCCAUUCAAUAUUGCAAAGAACUCGAUCCAACCUCUUUUUGACCAGCUCCUCCCCUUUUUGGUUGUUUGCCUAGGUAAAGGCACAUCCUUUUCUUUCCAUAUCCAUGAGUGCACAAUCAUUUAACAAGUCCCGGAAGGUUGUCACUCUAUAAUAGUCCAUCUCCCUUUUAUCGUACUUCUUCCAAUGAUACAAAAUUUCAUUAAAAUCUUCAAUGUAUAUCCAGGGUAAAGUGUUUCUCCCGUGAGUCAUUCUAAGUUGCUGCCAUAGUUGGAGUCUUUCAUGAUAAUUUGUCGAGGCAUGUAAGAAGGAAAUCCUCAUCUUGCUAUCGCGAUUUAGUUCAUUGCAAAUGACUUCAAUCAUCUCCCCCGAACUUGAUACUAGUCCUAUCGACACAUCAUUGUUCCACAUUAGAGCUAACCCCCCAGCGAUUCCAAUCGGAUUGACAACCAUCAAAUUCUGAAAAUGCAGUUGCUUCUUUACCCUUUCCACUAGGAGUUCCUUAUUUUUUGUUUCAAUUAAAAACACUAAACUAGGCUUUUCUUGAGCUAGUAAGGCUUUAAGAUGCUGGAACAUCAAGGAAGUGCCCAAACCCUGACAAUUCCAGCUUAAGAUUUUCAUUUAAACCCCGGUGGCUUAUAAGGGCUAACUACCAAUGCCCACUCAUCCAUUUCUUUGACUUCUUGAAUAAGUGUUUCUUGAAGGGUCUCUUCAUCUAUAAGCUGAGAAUUUAAGCUUUGCUGUUCAUAGGGGUUGAAGCAUUUCAUUUUUUUUUUUUUUUGUCAUAUGAGCUUUCUUCCCACCCUUCUCUUUAUUUUGGUUCCUAUUAGGUGCCAUUGGACUAGAUGCUUCCUUUAACAUAAGGUGUUGCUCCUGUUGUGUGAAUUCAAUCCCAAGGAAGUCUGGGUCUGAGUUGCUGGCCCAUUUGUGUUUCAGAACACUUUUCUCUGGCACAAUUACCCAGGCUAGUCUAUUUCUACCCUGCCGCUCGUUUUGCUGGUUUGCAGCCUGUGGGAUGCUCUAAAUAGGAGUUUCUGGAAUUAUUUAAUCUAUUUCAGGUUCUGGGCUCAUUUCUUCAUGAAAUAUGUUCCAAAAGGGACUGUUGUCCCUUGCUUCUGCCUUUAUCCAGCUUCCGAACUUCCCCACUUUGUCUUCUUCUUGUUCUGAUUGUUCAUAGGGGAUAAUCUUGUAAUAGGUUGUAUAAUGCCCAAUAUGUUCAUAGAAUAGCAAAAGUGUGGGAGUCUUUCAGAUUUACAAGCCACCCAAAUUUUUUUGUUAUCCAAGUUAACAAUGGUCCCAGACCUCAGAGGUUUAGAUUAAUCUAAUUGUACUCUUGCUUUGCCCACAUUUGUCUUACCAAAUCCUUUAGAUUCCAGCUUUACUUCCUGCACCUUUCCUAUUGUUGUUUCUAUAUCUAUGACUGUUUGUUCAGUGAUUUGACCUCUAGGCAGCCCCAGGAUGUGUACCUAGAAAUCAUAGUGUGUAAAUACAUAGGAAUGGUCAGGAGUGUCACGAUCACACUGUUUUAGAAUUAAGAGGUUGCUAGAGAAAGACUAGGGGCCUGAAAUAAUACUCUAUUUUCUUUGGCUACAGACGUAAAGGUGAAAAAGAAUAGCCCUGGUCCUAAUAUAUCACACGAGACUGAUUCUAAUUUCCAUGCCAUUUUUAUUGUACUAAAGAAAGCUUGCAGAUUGACAUUUGGCUUGGAAUACAGUUUUUCUAUAAGGGUUAGCUCACAUUCUUGUUUUGUUUGUUUUUUUUUUUUUUUUUUUUGGAGGAAUGUCUCCUCUAAUGGUUACUACAUUCUCCUUCGACCAUAACUCCCCCAAACUCCUAUGAAGGGCUGCCAGCCUCCUUUCCUGUUCUUCUCGUUCAUUCAUGGCUGCAAUAUCAACAAAUUCUAAGAACACCUGGAUUUUGGUUUUCUUUUUGGGCGACAGAAGAUCUGGAAUCCACCAUUCACUGGGUCUCUGUCCUUCGCCUUGUAAGAUGAGAUCUUCAGAGUGUAUGGCGUCAGGGUAUCAAGAACACGCUGGGUAGGAUUCCAGCAAAUUUGGGAUGCGGCCACUCUCCUUGCUUCAAGAAUGGACCUCCGAACUGCAAAUCUGUAGGAUUGAGGGGAGCUCUGAACUGAAAGCUGUGGGAUUACAUUUUAUGGCAAUCGAACACUGAUUUCGUUUUCGGGUUUCUAGGGCUUUGUGUCUAAGGGAAGUGGUUCUUCAAUUUGGGCAGAGAAAGAUUUGUUUUCAGUGUUAUGGGUGGAAAGUGGGAUGGAGCGAUGGGAAUUGUCUUAGGGUUUGUUUGGGAUUGCUAUCACCAUUGGGAUAGGGUUUAGCUCAAUUGGGUGAGAGAGGUUCUCCCAUGGUGAGAGACCAAGAGUAGAUUUCGCUUGCUCGUAAUAUCCGUCAAGUUUUUGCGCAUUCUUUCGAUCGUUUGUUUUGGAUUGUUGAUCAACUCAGUUUCUGAUGGCUUCUUCUCCUUCUAUUUCAUCAGCCAGUUAAUAAAGUCUCUCCAGCUGCAAACUAAUCAGUGUUUCUACUUUUACGCCUGGAAUGUGCGGCAAAGUAUGUCCCCAGAUUUUGGUGUCGGUGCAAAUGAUGUUUAUGCAUUCGUACCUUACCUUUCAUGGGAUAUUCUAUGAUGCUAUGAUCUCAAUUAUCUUCAUUUAUUGAUAAUUAGUGAAUCCUAUCCUUCUUGUGUAGAUUCAAGUUGCAAUUCAUGAAAUUCAGAGCAAGUCCCCAAACACCACAGGAUGGAGAUGCGGGCUGGAAUGAGGUUUGUCAUGAACUAUAAUGGAAAGGCAUUCCAUAGUUCUUCGUUAUUGCCUUUGAUCGUAUGCUCAGUGUUGUUGAUACUCUUCAUAGGAUUUUUGUUAUAAAGCGACCUCUUCUCAUGUGUUGCAGUAGUCCUUUGCAAGCUUUGACAUCGUGCUAUUUCUUUAGCAAUGGCUGAAUCUGAAAAUGCUUGUUGGAGACGGUAUGGGCAGGUGGUUCUAUAUGUAAAGACCAUUUAGAUGACCACUUCUUUUUUUUUUUUUUUUGGUCGGUUUUUAGAUUACCACUUCAAGCUACAGAGUUGUGACUAGAAGAGAAUUCAUGGAAAAGUCAAUGUCGUGGAAUCAGCAAAUAAUCUGUCUGAUUGCAGCCAGGAGUUUCAACGAAAGGAUUUCCUAUUAAGACAGUAGUUUCUCAUGUGAAGAAUUUUGAACACAAAAUAAAAGUGUCCAUUGGUUAAUACUCAAGACUCUACUACGCCAAAAUGUGUUCACCA